AAAACAAAUUACACUUUUAACUUCCAAAGAAAAUUCUUCAAACAUCAAGCCUUAAAAUAUAAGCACACUUAAACUAUCAUUAAUACACAGAUAGAACAUUUAACAGGUUGCAACUCAAUUAAACUAACACAAUUAAGGAUUAAUUUCCAAAUUAUACACAAGUUGUGCUGAGCAUUUUAUUUGUCCUUUAGGAGUCUGAAUAAGAAGAGAACGAACUUUUCCAUCUCUUCCUGGAUAUAGCUCUAAAAUUUUCCCCAUCAUCCACGUAUUUCUGAUCUUAGAUUAAGUAAAGACACCAACCUUUUACCAAUAAGAAAAUGAGAUGGGAUGAGUGGAGAGGGUUCUGAGGGUUCGUUGUACAGAUAACGUGAUAGGCCUGGAAUUAACCAGAGCUUCAAUUUCCGAAAAAAGUUUCCAAUUCCUUCAAAGAGAGAGAGGAUCGUCCAACAAUUUUCUUUACGCAGGAGUUUGUCCAGAUCAUCUAAAGUUUCCAUGUGACUCUGUGUUUAUCUGUGUUGUCUGUGUAACUGUCAAUAAUACUGCUUGCAUUUAUUUUAUUUUGUGGUGUGUAAAAUCAGUACAAAAAUGGAAAUUGCUCAUACUAAAACUCGUGAAGAAAUAUUAGAGCAAUUCGGAACAGAUCCAGAAAGGGGUUUAUCACCGACUCAAGUUAGAAAUUUACAAGAGAAAUAUGGUCCCAA